UGGGGAAUUUUGGACAAUGGGGGAAACCCUGAUCCAGCCAUCCCGCGUGUGCGAUGAAGGCCUUCGGGUUGUAAAGCACUUUUGGCAGGAAAGAAACGUCGCGGGUUAAUACCCCGCGGAACUGACGGUACCUGCAGAAUAAGCACCGGCUAACUACGUGCCAGCAGCCGCGGUAAUACGUAGGGUGCAAGCGUUAAUCGGAAUUACUGGGCGUAAAGCGUGCGCAGGCGGUUCGGAAAGAAAGAUGUGAAAUCCCCAGAGCUUAAACUUUUGGAAACUGCAUUUUUAACUACCGGGCUAGAGUGUGUCAGAGGGGAGGUGGAAUUCCGCGUGUAGCAGUGAAAUGCGUAGNUAUGCGGAGGAACACCGAUGGCGAAGGCAGCCUCCUGGGAUAACACUGACGCUCAUGCACGAAAGCGUGGGGAGCAAACAGGAUUAGAUACCCUGGUAGUCCACGCCCUAAACGAUGUCAACUAGCUGUUGGGUCUUCGGACCUUGGUAGCNCAGCUAACGCGUGAAGUUGACCGCCUGGGGAGUAC
rnacentral:rRNA from 1 species